rnacentral:rRNA from 1 species
GACGAACGCUGGCGGCGUGCUUAACACAUGCAAGUCGAACGGAAAGGCCCUGCUUUUGUGGGGUGCUCGAGUGGCGAACGGGUGAGUAACACGUGAGUAACCUGCACUUGACUUUGGGAUAACUUCAGGAAACUGGGGCUAAUACCGGAUAGGAGCUCCUGCUGCAUGGUGGGGGUUGGAAAGUUUCGGCGGUUGGGGCUGGACUCGCGGGUUAUGAGCUUGUUGGUGGGGUAGUGGCUUACCAAGGCUUUGAAGGGUAGCCGGCCUGAGAGGGGGAACGGCCUCAUUGGGCCUGAGAGACGGCGCAGUCGCCUACGUGCGGCAGUAGGGGGGAACCUUGCACAAUGGGCGGAAGCCUGAGGCAGCAACGCCGCGUGCGGGAUGACGUCUUUCGGGGUGUAAACCGCUUUCUCCGGUGACGAAGCGUGAGUGACGGUAAUGGGUAAAGAAGCACCGGCUAACUACGUG